CAGUACAUUACUCCACUCAGCACAGAUAUUAAAUACGUUUAGAAUGGAGGGAAAAGCUGUAUUGGUUUUUCUUGGAUUUGUUUCCUGUGUUUUUGCAGUAUAUCCAAUGAAGAAAAAAUGUGAUCAACAAUGCUUUUCUGACAGGAAUUGUGAACCAGGAUACUACUGUAAAACUGUAGGAUGUAAUAGCAUUUGCAGACGUGUCGAAGCCCUUUCACCAGUUGACCGUGUACCAAUAGAUACAAUAAUUCCUGGUAAUACACUCUCAUCAGGAUGCUUAAGAAGUUGUAGAUUGCAAGGUAGACAAGACUGUAGAAGAUUUUGCCAGAGAAUGGUUGACAAUUCACCAUUAGACCACAUUCUGCCAGGCGGUUCAGUAGAUCGUAUUAUCUCAGGCGGUGGAGUAGAUAGUAUUAUUCGAAGAGGCUCAGUAGAUCGUAUUAUUCCAGGCGGUUCAGUACAUGAUAUUAUUCCAGGCGGUUCAGUAGACCGUAUUAUUCGAGGAGAUUCAAUUGAUCGUAUUAUUCCCGGGGGUUCAGUACGUCGUAUUAUUCCAAGCGGUUCAGUAGACCGUAUUUUGCCUGUCGGUUCAAUUGAUGCGAUUCACCCAAAAGGCUGUGUUGACAGGUGUUUUUCAAGGAAUCAAUGCAACUUCAAUGAGGAUUGUAAAAACAGAAACGGAUGCAAUGAAUGUGUUCGCGUAAAAAACUACACAUAAUGUGGACAUCAUGGAAGGUCAGAAAAUCGUUCAAUGUUAUUCUAACUUUAUCCAUAUUAUGAUAUUAUGAUAUUUUUUUCUAUUUGUA